CCUACGGGUGGCAGCAGUGAGGAAUAUUGGGCAAUGGACGAGAGUCUGAAGCAGCCAAGUAGCGUGAAGGAUGACUGCCCUCUGGGUGGUAAACUUCUUUUAUAUGGGAAUAAAAUGUUUCACGUGUGGGAUUUUGUAUGUACCAUAUGAAUAAGGAUCGGCUCACUCCGUGCCAGCAGCCGCGGUAAUACGGAGGAUACGAGGGUUAUCCGGAUUUAUUGGGUUUAAAGGGAGCGUAGGUGGUUUGUUAAGUCAGUUGUGAAAGUUUCCGGCUCAACCGUAAAAGUGCAGUUGAAACUGGCAGUCUUGAGUACAGUAGAGGUGAGCGGAAUUCGUGGUGUAGCGGUGAAAUGCUUAGAUAUCACGAAGAACUCCGAUUGCGAAGGCAGCUCACUGGACUGCAACUGACACUGAGGCUCGAAAGUGUGGGUAUCAAACAGGAUUAGAUACCCUGGUAGUC
rnacentral:rRNA from 1 species